UUAGGGGUAAAAUUAAUAAAUAAAUAAAUAUAAAAAAAAUUUUUAAUAUAAAUAUUUAAUGGGGGUUAAAGUAUUUUAUAGAAAAAAUUAAAAAUUUAUAGUUAAAUAGUAUUGUGAAAGAAAUUUGAAAAAUUUUAAAAUAAAAAUUUAUAUAAAAGUAAAUUUUAUUUGUUGUAUCUUGGGUAUCAGAGUUUAUUAAAAUAUGAUUUUUUAAAAAGUUAUUUCGAAUUUAAAAGAGUUAAUUAAUUAAAAAAUUUAAUAUUAUAUAAUUAUUUUAAAUAAUUAAUUAGAAAUGAAAAGUUAAUCGUUUUUAAAUAUAUCUAAUUUUUUUGGAAAAAAAUUUAAUUUUAAAUUAAUUUAUUUUAAUAAUUAAUUAAUUAAUUAUUAUUAGUUUUAAUUAAAUAUUUUAAGGGAUAAGCUUUAAAUUAAAAUAUUAUAAAUAAUUAUUAAUAAAAUUGAAAAUUUUAAAAUUUAUAUUUUUUAAAAAUUAUAAUUUAUUAUAAAUAAUUUCAUUUAAUUAAAAUUUAAUAUUUAGUUUAAUUUUUUACAAAAAUAUAAUUUUUAAUAAAAAAAAAUUAGAAAUAAUGAUAAAAUUAGUAUAUAAUAAAAAAAAAAUUAAUAAAUUAUUAAAAUUAAUAAAAAAGAAUUCGGCAAAAAUUUAUAUUCACUUGUUUAUCAAAAACAUGUCUUUUUGAUAAUAAUUUAAAGUCUAAUCUGCCCACUGAAAAAUUUAAAGGGCUGCAGUAUAUUGACUGUACAAAGGUAGCAUAAUAAUUAGUCUUUUAAUUGAAGACUUGUAUGAAUGAUUUGAUGAGAUAUAAACUGUUUCUUUAUUAAUAAUAGAAUUUAAUUUUUUAGUUAAAAAGCUAAAAUUUUUUUAAAAGACGAGAAGACCCUAUAGAGUUUUAUUUUUGAAAUUUUUAUAAUUAUUUUAUUAAAUUUAUAAUUUAUAAAAAUUAAAAAAUUUUGUUGGGGUGAUAGAAAAAUUUAAUUAACUUUUUUAAAAAAUUUAACAUUAAUAUAUGAUUUUAUGAUCCAUAACUUAUGAUUAAAAGAUUAAAUUACCUUAGGGAUAACAGCGUAAUUUUUUUUUUUAGUUCAAAUAAAAAUUAAAGUUUGCGACCUCGAUGUUGGAUUAAGAUAAAAUUUAAAUGUAAAAGUUUAAAGUUUUGAUCUGUUCGAUCAUUAAAAUCUUACAUGAUCUGAGUUCAAACCGGUGUAAGCCAGGUUGGUUUCUAUCUUUAUAUAAAUAAAAUAAUUUAGUACGAAAGGAUCAAUUAUUUUAAAUAGUUUAAUAAAAAGAAUAUUAAAAAUUUUUUUUU
rnacentral:rRNA from 1 species